CCAUCUGUCAGUGUCAGUUCAUCUCAGCAGACAGGAAGUAGAUCUCAAGAUGAACAGCAGGAAGCCUGAAGGAGCUGCUGUGUAUUCUGGUGCUUGUGAGACUGUGAUUAAAGAUGGACGAACAACUGAUCCUGCAGUGUGAAGUGUGAACAGCUGACACAGCCAGCCUCUGUGACUGUGCAGCCAGGUCAACGUCUGACCAUCACCUGU